rnacentral:rRNA from 1 species
AAGUCGUAACAAGGUUUCCGUAGGUGAACCUGCGGAAGGAUCAUUACAGAGUUCAUGCCCUCACGGGUAGAUCUCCCACCCUUGAAUACUAUACCUUUGUUGCUUUGGCGGGCCGCUUUGGCUACUGGCUCCGGCUGGUGAGUGCCCGCCAAAGAAUCCCAAAACUCUGAAUAUUUGUGUCGUCUGAGUACUAUAUAAUAGUUAAAACUUUCAACAACGGAUCUCUUGGUUCUGGCAUCGAUGAAGAACGCAGCGAAAUGCGAUAAGUAAUGUGAAUUGCAGAAUUCAGUGAAUCAUCGAAUCUUUGAACGCACAUUGCGCCCCUUGGUAUUCCGAGGGGCAUGCCCGUUCGAGCGUCAUUAUAACCCCUCAAGCCCAGCUUGGUGUUGGGGCCUGCUGUUACCGGCAGCCCUUAAAAUCAGUGGCGGUGCCAUCUGGCUCUAAGCGUAGUAAUACUUCUCGCUACAGGGUCCUGGUGGAUGCUUGCCAUCAACCCCUAAAUUUCUAUGGUGACCUCGGAUCNGGUAGGGAUACCCGCUGAACUUAAGCAUAUCAAUAAGCGGAGGAAAAGAAACCAACAGGGAUUGCCUCAGUAACGGCGAGUGAAGCGGCAACAGCUCAAAUUUGAAAUCUGGCUCUUUCAGGGUCCGAGUUGUAAUUUGUAGAAGAUGCUUCGAGUGUGGUACCGGUCUAAGUUCCUUGGAACAGGACGUCAUAGAGGGUGAGAAUCCCGUAUGUGACUGGUUACCUUCGCUCAUGUGAAGCUCUUUCGACGAGUCGAGUGGUUUGGGAAUGCAGCUCAAAAUGGGUGGUAAAUUUCAUCUAAAGCUAAAUAUUGGCCAGAGACCGAUAGCGCACAAGUAGAGUGAUCGAAAGAUGAAAAGCACUUUGGAAAGAGAGUUAAACAGUACGUGAAAUUGUUGAAAGGGAAGCGCUUGCAACCAGACUUGCACGUAGUUAAUCAUCCGGGGUUUUCCCCGGUGCACUUGGCUACGUUCAGGCCAGCAUCGGUUUUGGUGGUUGGAUAAAGGCUUAGGGAAUGUAGCUCUCUUCGGGGAGUGUUAUAGCCCUAGGUGCAAUGCAGCCCACUAGGACCGAGGACCGCGCUUCGGCUAGGAUGCUGGCGUAAUGGUUGUAAGCGACCCGUCUUGAAACACGGACC